rnacentral:tRNA from 1 species
GCCUCGUUGGUGCAGCAGGCAGCGCGUCAGUCUCAUAAUCUGAAGUUCGUCAGUUCCAUCCUCACACCGGGCA